UACCAUAUCACAAUGAAACACUGGUUCCCAUAUGAUCACCAAAAUUAAGCAACAUUGAGUCUGGUGAGUAGCUACGUGAGUGACUGCUUGGGAAUACCAGGUGCUGUAAG